rnacentral:rRNA from 1 species
AUUGAACGCUGGCGGCAGGCCUAACACAUGCAAGUCGAGCGGAGCGGCGGACGGGUGAGUAUUGCCUAGGAAUCUGCCUGGUAGUGGGGGAUAACGUCCGGAAACCGGCGCUAAUACCGCAUACUAUCAGAUGAGCCUAGGUCGGAUUAGAUAGUUGGUGGGGUUAAGGCCUACCAAGGCGACGAUCCCUAACUGGUCUGAGAGGAUGAUCAGUCCCACUGGGACUUGGACCCGGUCCAGACUCCUACGGGAGGCAGCAGUGGUGAAUAUUGGACAAUGGGCGAAAUCCUGAUGCAGCCAUGCCGCGUGUGUGAAGGAGGUCUUCGGAUUAUAAAGCACUUUAAGUUGGGAGGCGUUACCAGCAGAAUAAGCACCGGCUAACUUCGUGCCAGCAGCCGCGGUAAUAC